UUAUCACUUAUCCACGUGGAUAAGACAUCUGUCACUCUCACACUGACAUACUUGCUAAAGCGUGACGGAUGCUUUAUCCAAGUGAUAAAAUUGGCAUCAUGAUACGCCGGCUGAUCUAUUUUAAGUUAAACGUAUACGAGUAGUGUGCUUAUGUGCACAUUUUAUCUUGAUUAAUGGUGAAAUCACUCUAGAAACCUUUAUAUUGGACAAUAAUAACAAAAAUAUAACAUUAAAAUGAAUAUUACGUCUAGUUUGAUUAUUUCAAAGUAGCAAACGUACCAUAGCUUCCCAAGAAAAUCCAUACUAAUAUUAUAAAUGGGAAAGUGUGUGUGUCUGUUUGUUUGUCCGUCUUUCACGACAAAACGGAGCGACGAAUUGACGUGAUUUUUUAAGUGGAGAUAGUUGAAGGGAUGGAGAGUGACAUAGGCUACUUUUUGUCUCUUUCUAACGCGAGCGAAGCCGCGGGCAAAAGCUAGUAGUUAAUAUUUCUUUUAAAAAAGGCUGGGUCGUGUGUAAACUUCUUAAUAUUUAGUUUAACUGGACGGAAUGGACACAUGUCCUCUACUUGAAGCCAGAAACUUUUAGAUCUGUGAUCGUUUAAAUCAUAAUAAUUGUCUACUUAUUUUCGUGUAUACAUAUUUUUAUUCGUUCCGUCUCGGGUUUAGGUUGCUUGUGCAAUACGUUUUGUAUAUUGAUGUUAGAUUAGUAUUUGUCGGGACUGUUGUCAUAUAAAUUGAUGUUUUUGGGAUAUAUAGUGCGCAAUUUUAGAUUGUUUUGUUAUAUUGAUUUGUUUUUCUGAAAGUUUUUGCUGUGGAGUAUGAUCGAAAUUAUGUUUUUGGUCUUAAAUCCAAGUAACAAAGCUAACAAAAUAUAAUCAUGAAGUAAAUUUUUGUUUUCAUCUUUGAUAAGGUUUUCUGUUGACGAAAAUAUAUUCAAAUUUUAGCAAUGAUACAAUUUUCUACGUGUGCAUUAGGUAAAGUCGGUGCAAUUUUGUUUGAUAGAAAUUUUAGUUGAAUUUUGUAAAAAACGCGUGUUUAGACUAUACAUAUAUAUUAUCUUGAUAUACUUAUUAGCUGGUAUCUUAUCAUAUUCAAUGAAUAUAGUUAGUUAAAUGUUUUCUGUACAUUGUUGUAAUAUUUUAGUUGCCAUACUAUAAUAAAACGGACUAUACAGUAUAUCGGCCAGUUCCAAGUCAGACACAUUUACAGAAUAAUACAUAUGUUUUAUUUUUUCGAUAAUUUCUUGAACGCUCUGAAAUACAAAUACUUAAUUCAAAUCCAUAAAUUAACUUCUCGUUUAGUGUUUUUUAACCUUUAACACACAUUAUUGUAAUUUAAUUUCAAAUGAACCAGUGUUUAGAAUAUAAUAUUUUGGUUUUAUAGAAGAAUAUGAAAAUUACAUUGCAGAGAUGGCUUUUGAGCGUUACAAUGCUAAAAAAGUUUUAAAACUGUAUACAUUAUUGGUACAUAUUUCUCGAUUAAAAAUUUAAGAUCAAUGAGUCCCUAAAUAAAUCACCUGUUAUAGUACAUAUAAAAUCAAAAAUAUAUUUAAAAUGUAUCCGUUUUGGUGUUUAAUGUAUAUGCAUAACAGUCUCAUGUUGUGUGACCACAGUAGCAUCUUUUCAAAUGCGAUUGUCACCUUAUGUGGAUCCGUACGCCGAUUCGGCGUGCGAAAAACAUCCGUGGACGUAGUUACGUAAAAACGUUCCAAGCAUAAAAUGAAAAUAUAAACCAUUUAUCUGUAGUCCCCCUUUUCAGUGACAUUUUUCAUGUGGAUUGGAAAGCGUAACUAGGUUCUACUGUCCUCGAUCGCACAUCGAAACGGCCUACGGGUAGUAUCAGUUUGCUAGAUGUCCGUGCCGAUGGUUCCUAGUCUACGUUUAGUUUUAGUUAUUAAUACCUCUGGAUUGUACAUACAGAAUGGCAGUGUCGAGACAGUAAUUUAGGAUAUUUAUAGGAACUUUUUGAUUGCUUCGGGUUUUAUAGUAAAAUGUGGGGUAAAUAUUUCGACAGACUUUUAACAGUGUUGUCUACUUAAAAUUAUAGAUAUUUUAUUGAAACAAGACAUGCUCGAAAAAACUUUUUAAAAGUGUAUUCUAACCUUGUAAUUUUAAUGUUAUUUUCAUGAAGAAUGUCAGCAUGAAAAAUAAUAGGGAAGAAAGUAAGUUUUUGUUUAUCUUGAAUAACAUAAAGAGGCAAAAACGAAAUUGGCAAGCGUCUCGUUUCAGUGAUUCAUCUAUUCUAUUUAAAUGUUAUUCGCUCUAACGAAAUAAGUAGAAUUAAAAUUGUACCAAAAACGCACAUUUUGUGAAGGUUUUUGUACGAAACCGUACCGAAACUGAUUAAUUAAUCUACAGGCGUUACUGCUGCACGUAAUAUUGUCAGGAGUUUCAAAAUUACGGCCCGCACACCGGAGCCCUUACUUUUAGAAACUCUGCACUUUUAUGCCUGAAAUGAAAAGUCGAGGCUCUCGGGCGAAAAAGUUCGAAGACUACCGUACCUAACCGUAGAAAAAAAUGUCGGAUUACAUUAUCUUGGAAUUUUUGUAUGUAGAUAUGCAUAAAUUCGGAACCGAGUGUAGGUAUGCUUUAUUAUAAUAAGAUAAGUUUUACCAUGUUUUAUUUAUUACAUUUUCCAGCGGUAACGCCCGAGCCUUUAUAAAUUAAUAUACAAUGUCCGUCUGAAAAUAAUCCGGUGAAACUGUUUACGUAAUAUAUUGUAUUUAGGUAACUAUAGAUUUGUUACUGUGACCACUGUCACGUAUUUUUUAAUUAUUUGUAAAUAAAAAAAUAUUGAGAGA
rnacentral:lncRNA from 1 species